UCAGCACCACACUCUCCCGAGUGAGCCACGGGCUGGCCCGGUGGUUGUUUUCUUGAAAGAACAAAAUAUAAGGGAACCUUAGGCCUGUAUUCCACCAUGGAAACACAGGGCUAUAGCUGAACAGAGGCUGUCCUGUCAGCAGGGCAUGCUUCCUCCAGUUUGCCAAAGACUUUCCUACUAUUCUUUGAAUUAUUCCUGACCUAAUUUAAUCAUUUGUUAUUUGUUUGGCUGUGACCUCUGGACCAGGUGUCCUCACACCUUGCUUUCCCUGGGACAGUCCCAGCUUAGGCCUAUUGACCAGUCUUAAAUAUUAAUAGCACCCCCCAGACACACCCGUUACUCUCAAGUGUCCAGUUUGGACAGUAAAUUAUGUGGUCACCCUAAGCAUAAUGUACAAGCCAAUCUCCCACCACACACACACACACACGCACACCCAUCACCACUGAAUUCACACAACUAUGUCAAGCACAGAACCCUGUUAUAAAGUGAUUUUAUUAAAUUGAUUUGGACAUACUGUAGGUCAAAUAAUAUUUUCUGAAGAUAACAAUUAUGGACUUUAAAGCUCGACAUAAAAUUAGUAGCUUCAAAAGUGUUAGUCAUAUUCCCCAGCAACAGCAUGAUAAAAUAAUUCAACUAUGUAGAAAUAUAGAACUCUAGGACUAGCUGGAAACUCAGAAAUCAUUUAGCCUAAUGUCCUCAUUUUGUGAGAAAACUAGACUCAAAGAUUAAGCAAUUU